AACGAACGCUGGCGGCAUGCCUAACACAUGCAAGUCGAACGAGACCUUCGGGUCUAGUGUCGAACGGGUGCGUAACGCGUGGGAACCUGCCCUUAGGUUCGGAAUAACUCCCCGAAAGGGGUGCUAAUACCGGAUAAUGUCUUCGGACCAAAGAUUUAUCGCCUUUGGAUGGACCCGCGUUGGAUUAGCUAGUUGGUAGGGUAAAAGCCUACCAAGGCGACGAUCCAUAGCUGGUCUGAGAGGAUGAUCAGCCACACUGGGACUGAGAGACGGCCCAGACACCUACGGGAGGCAGCAGGGGGGAAUAGUGAACAAGGGGCGCAAGACUGAUGCAGCAACGUCUCGUGCGGGAUGACUGACUUCGGGUGGUAAACCGUGUUCAGCAGGGACGAAGCUUUUUGUGACGGGACCUGCAGAAGAAGCAGGGGCUAACUACGUG
rnacentral:rRNA from 1 species